rnacentral:rRNA from 1 species
AUUGAACGCUGGCGGCAGGCCUAACACAUGCAAGUCGGACGGUAGCACAGAGAGCUUGCUCUCGGGUGACGAGUGGCGGACGGGUGAGUAAUGUCUGGGAAACUGCCCGAUGGAGGGGGAUAACUACUGGAAACGGUAGCUAAUACCGCAUAACGUCGCAAGACCAAAGUGGGGGACCUUCGGGCCUCACACCAUCGGAUGUGCCCAGAUGGGAUUAGCUAGUAGGUGGGGUAAUGGCUCACCUAGGCGACGAUCCCUAGCUGGUCUUAGAGGAUGACCAGCCACACUGGAACUGAGACACGGUCCAGACUCCUACGGGAGGCAGCAGUGGGGAAUAUUGCACAAUGGGCGCAAGCCUGAUGCAGCCAUGCCGCGUGUAUGAAGAAGGCCUUCGGGUUGUAAAGUACUUUCAGCGGGGAGGAAGGCGGUGAAGUUAAUAACUUCACCGAUUGACGUUACCCGCAGAAGAAGCACCGGCUAACUCCGUGCCAGCCGCCGCCGUAA